UACGUAGGGCGCAAGCGUUGUCCGGAAUUAUUGGGAGUAAAGAGAUCGUAGGCGGUUUGUUAAGUAUGUUGUGAAAACCCAGGGCUUAACCCUGGGCUUGCAGUGGAUACGGGUAGACUAGAGGCAGGUAGGGGAGAAUGGAAUUCCCGGUGUAGCGGUGAAAUGCGCAGAUAUCGGGAGGAACACCGGUGGCGAAGGCGGUUCUCUGGGCCUGACCUGACGCUGAGGAGCGAAAGCGUGGGGAGCGAACAGG
rnacentral:rRNA from 1 species